rnacentral:rRNA from 1 species
CUGCCCUUUGUACACACCGCCCGUCGCACCUACCGAUUGAAUGGUCCGGUGAAGCCUCGGGAUUGCGGUCCGUUCCUUUACUGGGAUGUGGCUGUGAGAACUUGUCUAAACCUUAUCAUUUAGAGGAAGGUGAAGUCGUAACAAGGUUU